GCCCCCUUAGCUCAGCGGUCAGCGUUUGUCUUUGUCUUUUCUUAUAAUAGCGUAUUAUUGUUAUCCAGCGUAUUGUGGUUUAAGACCAAGCGAAAGACGUCGGUUCGAAUCCGACCGGUGGCA